AUCUGGGCGGCGGAAUUCAGGAUAGUCGUACGGGCCUCGCGCUCGUCUGGUUGUUUGAUAUUUCCGUCGCCGUGUCAGACGUCGCGACCUGUUCGUCGUCGGUCCUUGCUCGGAGGAAUCGCGAUCGAGUUCGUUGCGGGUGCGUUUCGGCGUGCUCCGCGGCGAAGGCGCGUCUCUCUGGCUGACGAUGGACAGUAAGCAACGGUGUCCGACGUCGUGUCUCGCACUCGACGUCGGUGCCGGUCAGCGACGAUUUCUUCGGGCCUCUUUCCGACCCGUCUUGAAACACGGACCAAGGAGUCUAACAUGCGCGCGAGUCGCGGGGUUUCGAGCGUACCACGGUGCGCUCGUUACUUGCGAAACCCGUACGUUGAAGGCGUAAUGAAAGUGAAUAGGGAAGAUGGCGUUCCGAGUCCACGUACCGUGAUCGAGUAUUGCGGCCGGACGCCCGCAUUCCCGGGGCGUCUCAAUGGUUCGUCGCGGAUGCGGACGAUCGUCUUUCGGGGCGGUCGUCGGUCUGCGACGGUCCGA
rnacentral:rRNA from 1 species